ACUUCUGGAAUUCCAUUCUGACCCUCGGAUCAAAAUCUCACUAUUGAACUGGAAACUUCAAAAAUUCAGUUUUUGGCAUUUUAAGCCUAAUUUAGCUACGGACCUCCAAAAUUCAAUCCGAAGGCGAUGCUAAGCCUGAAAUCACCUAAUGGAGCUAACGGAACCAUUGGAUUUCCAUUUUGAGGCUAUCCUUACACUAUUUUGACU
rnacentral:lncRNA from 1 species